UGUAUUAGCUAUAUUAAUACAAUAUGUAUAUAUAUAUGCCCACUGAAGCUAAGCAGGGUUGAGCCUGGUCAGUACCUGGAUGGGAGACCUCCUGAGAAAACUAGGUUGCUGCUGGAA
rnacentral:rRNA from 1 species